CUGUAAAGUGUUAUUACUCACACCUGAUAUGUUUGUGUAUGAUUCUAGAAACAACCUUUAGGGGAACACCUAAAGGAAUUAGUGAGAUGGUAAACAUAAUUCAUGGCUGAUGUAUGCAAAAUAAUUGUAUUAGAAAAGAUAAGUGGAACUUCUCCUGUCUCUCACUAGGGUCAGAAUGCAGAGCCACAAAGAGUCAAAGACCUGCCCAUCUCUGUUGGUACCUCAGUGAAAAUUAAGACAAGAUUAGAGAAUACCUUAAAUAGAAAACAAAUUAUCCUGAAUUUAUGUAAAGUUUUAAUGUAACUUAAUGGGAUACAUUCCAUUGGAAUAUUGUGUCUGAUUCUAUCAUCUUUCAUAUACAACAUUUCUUGUAUAAUUUUAGAAAGAAAUUUUCCUGGUUUGGGUCUUUCCCAGCAAAAUAAUCUAAUGUAACGAUGAUUUUUUGAGGCUUAAUUUUUAGAUGCCUGUAUCUUAACACCGCUAGUUGGAGGCUGAUAUAAUACGUGCAGAGCAUUUUUAUUACAAUGGGCAUUUACAAUAGAUCAGGCAAAAUAUUUUUCUUGAUUUGUAUGUGUCUUAUUGCUGUAGCCAGUGGCAAAUGUUUAGGGGAAAAGUAGAAAAACAGAUAAAGUAGCAGUAGCAGUAGUAGUAGCAGUAGUAGUAGCAGUAGUAGUAGUAGUAGUAGUAAUUGUCCACAGAACUUUAUGAACCCCCUAAAUUACAUUUAUGGACUUUCACUUUUUUUAUUUUUUUAUUUUGUUAAACAAAACCAAAAAACCCAAAAAACAAAACCAACAAAUAACCAAGGCUACUUUCACAGUUAAGCAAAAGAUUCAAAUUGACAGAUGUGACACAGUGCCUCUGCUGGACCUGUGAGGUCCUGAAUCACCAGCUGGAGGCCAGACAGAUAAUUCUGGGUCAUUUCAGGCCUGAGACCUCAACCAUGGUGUGGCAGAAGCAUUCUGGAAAAAGUGUGAAGCUUUGCUGAGGUAAAAUACAUUCAAUAGAUUUCAUUGAUGUCACUGUUGCUACUUCAAAAUGAUUCUCCUUGAAUCUGAUUGCCCUGGAGGACUUCAAGGUCUUAGCCAAGGCCUGGCUCGCUGCCUUUCCUUAAGGGAGCACCAGCAGUGCCAUCUCCCUUCCACUGGUUAUCUUGUAGUUAGUUCCGUGGGCUAAUUACCUCUCUUGAAAAUAUCUGGGAAAGAAAUGCCUCAGUUCUGUCUGUUUUACUGGGGAUUAGCACUGAUUUAAUUAAAUUUGUUUGCAUUUCUAGCAUUUCACAGGCCACAUUCCACAAGGGGAAUCAAGACUUUUCUGCACUCUGGCUUCACUUGAGUUUCUCACUGAGAUGUGACACUUUGGAACUGCAUUUAAUCUGAAUCGUGUCUAUGCCUAUAAUAAAUUACUGCUUUUACAAUCCACUGUAGCAGGGGAGUAGCUCUGGAAGCACCAAAGCUUUGAAGGAGUGCUUAGACACUGGUCCAGCUGGGUUGCUUGGUUCCUGUUAAAGAAGGAUUUAGCCUGAACUGUUGGAAUGUUUAAGCAAUAUGACUUGGAAGCAAUUUAGCUGAGUUUGUUAUGGUAAACCUCUCAUUUGUUAGAUCUAUAAAAAGUCUGCAUAUUUUUCUUGUAAUCAGAGAUUUUCAAUAACAUAUACACAGGUUAUAUAAAUACAUUGAAGGAAAAUUCAUUAGACAAAUGUUUCUCUUCUAGCAUGGAUAGACGUGAUUUCAAUAAUUUUUUGAGUUUCAAGCCCUGGAAAAGUUCUUGGCUUCAGGCUGUUUAUUUUCUUGCAUUAUACAUUCAAGGGCCAGCACUUUAAAAUCCUCAGAUAUGUCCCAUUCUCCUGUUCUGGUUAGGAGGCAAGAAGCCAUGUCAAAAGAAAUGUCAUCAGGAAAGGUAUCAUUAUGGAUAUUUGCAGAGACCUGGAUACUUUCAUAAAAUCUCAUUUGAACAAUGCAGAAAUAUAAAAGUGAAGAUGAAGCUGGGUGAACUAAAGAUGUGUAUGCCUGUAGCCUUCAUUAAAAAGACUUUUUGCAGUGGACACCCUGGGAUGCUGCCUAGAGCACCAUUGUCAGCUCCAUGGUCACUUGACUCCCUUUCUUACCGUGCAAAGAUCUUUCAUUGUCUUUUCUUCACCCGAGGUUUUUCUGUCUUUUUUGUUUGCUCUUUGCUCUGUUGUUUCGUUGAUCCAUGCUCUAGCAGGUUCCCACACAGAGAAUUCCCACCAUUCCCACCACCACCUAUCAUCCCCAUUCCAUAAAAAGCAUCCAAGUGAUAAUAUGGUCGUUUCCCCUGUAAUUGAUACCACUUUAUUGUGCUUUCCUUAAGUAUGAACUGCUUAAGACCUGUUUAUUCUGUCUUGAGAAAUGGCCUGCAGAAUAGGAUCCCAUAUAUAUAUGAAUUUUAAAAAGGACCAAAAUAUCAUGUUACACUCAUGAGAUACUUG